rnacentral:rRNA from 1 species
UACGUAGGGGCCGAGCGUUGUCCGGAGUUACUGGGCGUAAAGCGUGCGCAGGCGGCGCGUUCUGCCCGGCGUGAAAGCCCCCGGCUCAACCGGGGAGGGUCGUCGGGGACGGGCGCGCUUGAGGGUAUCAGGGGCUGGUGGAAUUCCCGGUGUAGUGGUGAAAUGCGUAGAGAUUGGGAAGAACACCAGUGGCGAAGGCGAUUCUCUGGACUGUAACUGACGCUGAGGCUCGAAAGCGUGGGGAGCAAACAGGAUUAGAUACCCUGGUAGUCCCUGAGCGGG